rnacentral:lncRNA from 1 species
UCUCAGUCCUAAGGGUGAAUCUAAUCUGGAAAGAUUCUCAGAACUGUUGAGGUGCUCGCAAGCAGAAGAUGUUGACACAAGAAGAGUAUUUUCAAAGUAUUCUUAUGGUGGAAGUAUCUGAAAGGAUAAUUGGGAAAGGAUUUAAGAUCAAUGUCUACAUGAGCCAAGUACAAGUAUUUAAUUGAUUAUCCUUGGAGCUCAAGAUAACUGAUGUUCUUAAAGAUGUUGGAACAUCUCUUCUUCAAGACCCUGUGCAGAAUCACAGGAAGGAUA